rnacentral:rRNA from 1 species
GACGAACCGUCCUAACGUUAUUCGGAAUCACUGGGCUUAAAGCGCGCGUAGGCGGCCCGAUAAGUCCGCUGUGAAAGUCAACGGCUCAACUGUUGGAUGCCGGUGGAUACUGUCGGGCUAGAGUACGGAAGAGGCAAGUGGAAUUCCUGGUGUAGCGGUGGAAUGCGCAGAUAUCAGGAGGAACACCGGUGGCGAAGGCGGUUCUCUGGGCCUGUACUGACGCUGAGGAACGAAAGCGUGGGGAGCGAACAGG